GACGAACGCUGGCGGCGUGCUUAACACAUGCAAGUCGAACGGAAAGGCCCUGCUUUUGUGGGGUGCUCGAGUGGCGAACGGGUGAGUAACACGUGAGUAACCUGCCCUAGACUUUGGGAUAACUUCAGGAAACUGGGGCUAAUACCGGAUAGGAGCCCCUGCUGCAGGGUGGGGGUUGGAAAGUUUCGGCGGUUGGGGAUGGACUCGCGGCUUAUCAGCUUGUUGGUGGGGUAGUGGCUUACCAAGGCUUUGACGGGUAGCCGGCCUGAGAGGGUGACCGGCCACAUUGGGACUGAGAUACGGCCCAGACUCCUACGGGAGGCAGCAGUGGGGAAUAUUGCACAAUGGGCGGAAGCCUGAUGCAGCAACGCCGCGUGCGGGAUGACGGCCUUCGGGUUGUAAACCGCUUUCGCCUGUGACGAAGCGUGAGUGACGGUAAUGGGUAAAGAAGCACCGGCUAACUACGUG
rnacentral:rRNA from 1 species